rnacentral:rRNA from 1 species
UACGAAGGGGACUAGCGUUGUCCGGAAUUAUUGGGCGUAAAGAGCUCGUAGGCGGUGUGUCGCGUCGGCCGUGAAAACCUGCAGCUUAACUGUGGGCUUGCGGUCGAUACGGGCAUCACUGGAGUUCGGCAGGGGAGACUGGAAUUCCUGGUGUAGCGGUGAAAUGCGCAGAUAUCAGGAGGAACACCGGUGGCGAAGGCGGGUCUCUGGGCCGAUACUGACGCUGAGGAGCGAAAGCGUGGGGAGCGAACAGG